rnacentral:rRNA from 1 species
AUUGAACGCUGGCGGCAGGCUUAACACAUGCAAGUCGAGCGGGGGAGAUUGCUUCGGUAAUUGACCUAGCGGCGGACGGGUGAGUAAUACUUAGGAAUCUGCCUAUUAAUGGGGGACAACAUCUCGAAAGGGAUGCUAAUACCGCAUACGCCCUACGGGGGAAAGCAGGGGAUCACUUGUGACCUUGCGUUAAUAGAUGAGCCUAAGUCGGAUUAGCUAGUUGGUGGGGUAAAGGCCUACCAAGGCGACGAUCUGUAGCGGGUCUGAGAGGAUGAUCCGCCACACUGGGACUGAGACACGGCCCAGACUCCUACGGGAGGCAGCAGUGGGGAAUAUUGGACAAUGGGGGGAACCCUGAUCCAGCCAUGCCGCGUGUGUGAAGAAGGCCUUAUGGUUGUAAAGCACUUUAAGCGAGGAGGAGGCUCCUGUAGUUAAUACCUACAGUGAGUGGACGUUACUCGCAGAAUAAGCACCGGCUAACUCUGUGCCAGCAGCCGCGGUAAUACAGAGGGUGCGAGCGUUAAUCGGAUUUACUGGGCGUAAAGCGUGCGUAGGCGGCU